CCCCAGUGACAGGCCAUCAACAGUCCAAUGAAGACAUGAAGACCCAAUGUCUUCAUUGGACUGCUGAUGGCCUGUCACUGGGA
rfam:Gorilla gorilla gorilla genomic chromosome, chr18, whole genome shotgun sequence